rnacentral:rRNA from 1 species
GACGAACGCUGGCGGCGUGCCUAAUACAUGCAAGUAGAACGCUGAAGGAGGAGCUUGCUUCUCCGGAUGAGUUGCGAACGGGUGAGUAACGCGUAGGUAACCUGCCUGGUAGCGGGGGAUAACUAUUGGAAACGAUAGCUAAUACCGCAUAACAGUAGAUGUUGCAUGACAUUUGCUUAAAAGGUGCAAUUGCAUCACUACCAGAUGGACCUGCGUUGUAUUAGCUAGUUGGUGGGGUAACGGCUCACCAAGGCGACGAUACAUAGCCGACCUGAGAGGGUGAUCGGCCACACUGGGACUGAGACACGGCCCAGACUCCUACGGGAGGCAGCAGUAGGGAAUCUUCGGCAAUGGACGGAAGUCUGACCGAGCAACGCCGCGUGAGUGAAGAAGGUUUUCGGAUCGUAAAGCUCUGUUGUAAGAGAAGAACGAGUGUGAGAGUGGAAAGUUCACACUGUGACG